GAUGAACGCUGGCGGCGUGCCUAAUACAUGCAAGUCGAGCGAACAGAUGAGGAGCUUGCUCCUCUGACGUUAGCGGCGGACGAGUGAGUAACACGUGGAUAACCUACCUAUAAGACUGGGAUAACUUCGGGAAACCGGAGCUAAUACCGGAUAAUAUAUUGAACCGCAUGGUUCAAUAGUGAAAGACGGUUUUGCUGUCACUUAUAGAUGGAUCCGCGCCGCAUUAGCUAGUUGGUAAGGUAACGGCUUACCAAGGCAACGAUGCGUAGCCGACCUGAGAGGGUGAUCGGCCACACUGGAGCUGAGACACGGUCCAGACUCCUACGGGAGGCAGCAGUAGGGAAUCUGCCGCAAUGGGCGAAAGCCUGACGGAGCAACGCCGCGUGAGUGAUGAAGGUCUUCGGAUCGUAAAACUCUGUUAUUAGGGAAGAACAAAUGUGUAAGUAACUAUGCACGUCUUGACGGUACCUAAUCAGAAAGCCACGGCUAACUACGUG
rnacentral:rRNA from 1 species